rnacentral:rRNA from 1 species
CAGUCGCCACGGUAACACCGAGGGUGCGAGCGUUAAUCGGAUUUACUGGGCGUAAAGCGUGCGUAGGCGGCUUUUUAAGUCGGAUGUGAAAUCCCUGAGCUUAACUUAGGAAUUGCAUUCGAUACUGGGAAGCUAGAGUAUGGGAGAGGAUGGUAGAAUUCCAGGUGUAGCGGUGAAAUGCGUAGAGAUCUGGAGGAAUACCGAUGGCGAAGGCAGCCAUCUGGCCUAAUACUGACGCUGAGGUACGAAAGCAUGGGGAGCAAACAGGAUUAGAUACCCCUGUAGUCCCUGUCUCUUAUAC